AGGCGGAUCAAGGCUGAGCUGAGGGAAGCACGCUGUCACUCCGAGCCGGGCCUGAAUUCGCAGCCCCCACCUGUGGGAUCAUCGCCCCCACCAUUGCGCAGACAUGGACUCCGGCAGAGGGAUCUUCAAACUCAAUGUGUCUUGGGGAAGAAGAAACAGGAAAGCCUUAUAAAUAUGAUUGUCUGGUAAAUGAUUUUGAGAAUAUAGAAAAUUAAAAGCAAGAUAAAAUGAAAGCAAGAUUUGAGAUACCUUAGUUACUGAACAAAUGGAAAACAAUGGUGUGGCCUGACUGAAGGUAAUCCCCUUUUGAUGAAACAAUUCCCUCUGCUUGCAGACAGGUCCCAGGGUCAGAGCAGACCCUAUUAGCUCAGCAGAAGGGGUCCAAAGAGUAGUAUUCAGGGUUUAAAAUGUAACACAGUACGGUGAUGUAAUGAUUUUUAUAGGCUGUAUGUAAAUGCUCUAGGAUUUGUAUCUUGUACUAGAUUGGUUAGUGAGAAAUAGAAUAUUCAACAGAGAAGUAGAUUUAUUGUAUUGUAAUGGGAACCUUACUCUCUUACGCUCUUACCCUCUUACUCUCUCACCCUCUCAUCCUCUCUGCCCCUCUCUUCUCUCGGGCCUGCUCUGAGCUGUGGCUGGCAGCUCCAAGCAGGGCCCUGCACCCAACCCCUUUGCAAUAAACCGCAAGUUCUACGACCUGGCUGCAGAGAUCUCUCGUCUCUGUCUGUCCCGAACAUCCUACCCCCUGACGCUCCUACAAAUGUGCUCAUCCCUUAUUUUCCACAAACCAGGAUUUCCCAUUAUGAGGAAGGCUGCGAGGAAGAGGAAGAUGCUCCAGGACACUGAUGCAGAGUCACAGAGAGGAGAGGCCCUUCCAAUGCCCCGACUGCCGGAAGGGAUUCAAGCACAACUCAGACCUCGUCACCCACCGGUGCAUCCACUCAGGGGAGAGGCCCUGCGAGUGUCCCCAGUAUGGGAAGAGCUUCUCCAGCAGCUCUAACUUGACCAAACACCAACGGAGGCACUGAUAAGGGAAGCCCUGUGAGUGCCCUGAGUGCGAGAAGAGCUUCGUGCGCUGCUCCAGCUCCAUCCCCCACUGGAGGAGGCACUUUGGGCACAGCCCUGGUCACUCACAUUCCCUGUGAUCCAUGUUGGGAACACACCUGGCUGCUUCUCCUUUUGGUUUGGCCCCAAUUUGGAGCAGUGGGAUGGGGAUUGUGUGGGGCUGGGUGUGUGGGAUGUAUUUGACUGCAAAUAAAACUUUCAGAGUUACUGAUUCUGUCCUAUUUUCUGUAAGUUCUGUUUGCAGAGUGCCGCCUUCUCAGCUGAUUUGAUUACUAUUAAAAUCCCUUUUUUAAAAUCUAACCCAAAAAAUCCAAAAACCAAUAUCCAAAUAAAGCCACUCACCCACAAUUAAAUUUUUUAAAAGUAAUUUUAUUUGUUUUAGAGUACUUAAGGGAAUUAUUAAAUUUUGUUGGUUAAA